AUCUGGUGGCUGAGGACCCUACACAGAAAAGAGAAGUGAAAGGAUUUUCUUCCUGAAGGACCCACACAGCUGGAUUUCUUCCCUAAGACAGAAAAACCUGGAGGAGGAGCUGGGUUUGUAGAGGCCCUACUCCCCCACUGGGCUGCCCGAGGACAUCGAGGACAUCGAAGGUCUGCAUCUGUUCAUCGCUCAACCCCAAAACUCAAGGGAUCAGUUGGAAUAGUCAGGAAUCUUGCUUCCCCAGAUGUGGGGCCACAAAGCCCUGGGCAGGGGACAACGGGUAGGAGCGGGAGCCCAUGCCGGCACUCUCCUCUUCAGGAGUGUGUGAGUUUGGACGGUGGUUUCCUCCUGCAUGCCCUGGCCCUGGUGGUACCUGCUUCCCCACAGUGCUGAACUGGUGACACUUGAAAGAGAGAGAGUCACAAAAGCUCCUUGCAAACUGCCAGGCAUUGUGCAGAAGUGAGACGGAGUGACAGUAGCACCCCGUCCAUCAGGCCCCCAAAGCCAGCUCGGACUCACUCUAUUGGCAGCUCUGGCCACAAAGGAGUCACUGAGUAAGCAGAUGAUUAGUUACCCAGUAAGUCUUGCAGCCUAAGGAAGGGGGGUCCUAUGGGAGCCCAUGGGGGAGAUGGGGGGCACCAGGACAGACAGUGACACUGACCAGGAACAUGGGAAGAUUCUCAGCACCACACUUCAUACUGUGUCCAUGAAGCAUCUCAGCCUCUCAGCAGGUUCCUAACCUUGCUGGGGAGACAGGGCUCCAAGAGAGCCCUGUGCUCAUUCUUCCACCCAGAACAUGAGGGAAUUGUCCAGUGACUCCUGCUCCCCUGCCCUAGUUCCUCUCCCAAGUUCUUGCCACUGUGGACAGUGACCCUCUAGAAGGGCUUGUUGCAGUCCCAUCAAUAUGUAUAACUAUGAUGCAUUAAUUAAAAAUGUGUGUGUGGCAGGGAGAAGAAUGGCUAAUUGCACCCAAAGGGGUGACCCACACCUGUCAUCUCAGUGACUUGGGAGGCUGAGAAAGGAGAAUUUCAAGUUUGAGGCCAGCCUGGGCAAUUAAGGAAGAGCCUGUCUUAAAAGAAAAAAAUAAAAUCUUUUAGGGGAUAUAGCUCAGUGGUAGCGUGCACCUGGAUUCAAUUCCCAGUGCCCCCCUCCCACACAAAGUGGCUCAUUGCAAGGAUGAUCCUAUGGACACAGUUUCCUAGAAUAUGACAACUCCAAUAGGAGACAGCAUCUACACAAC
rnacentral:lncRNA from 1 species